GUAAAUUGCUUGUUUAUUUACAAACUCUCUCUUUUCUGUCUCUUUUUAUUUUGCUCCUGCCUUUUUAAAAUAAUUAUUAUUAUUUUGCUCACAAGUGAAAGUUAGCAGGACUUUGAGUAUGUGGAUGACACCAGCCCCUUCUGUUGAAACAGCACAGUCUGCACACUGCUGAGGCACCGUGGCUCACAGAGCUCUUAAUGGAGAUCUCCUCCACCUGCUCCAAUGACAUACCUGUUGUUGAGAAGAAGCUACCCAGCUGCAGCAGUGAAGGCAGUGUGCUGAGUCCCAGUCAUAUAAAUCUACUGGGUAAAUGUUGUUAUCUUGAACACGUUAUUUUGGGAGUUAGAUAUCUGAAAGAUGAAAGACAGCAUCAAGAUGCAAAAGGAGAGCUGGAUAUUUUGUUUAUAAAGACACAUGUGAAGAAAAAAGAGCACCCAAACAUUGAAUGGAAAGAGAGGAGUUCUAAAAUCCUUGGGAGGAUGAAUGUUCUGGAAAUAUUGUCAUGCCCUGUCUCCAGGCUCAGGAGUUUUAUAGCAUGCAGAGAAAUAUAUAGGGUAAUUGAUUUUUGUCCCAAGUAACAAGAUCAGAGUCACUGCCUUCCCAGUGAUUUCUGCAUCCUGGCCUGGCACCAUAAGCAACUUAAACUGAAGUCACCACCAACAAAAAAGACUGCACAAUUUUGUUGUUCUUGCUUACUUCUAUACAAUCUUGAGAAACAAAAUUGUUUUAUUUUCCCUCUUGUGAGUUAUUAAGUGUUUUUAUAGUUCCCAACUCCUCUUCUUCUUCCCCCCACAAACUAAAUGGAAAAGAUGACCGAUAUGUUGUAUGAUAUUUGGGAAAACAAAUUUUGAUGCCAUUGAAACAGUAACAAAGAAAAUCUUCCAGUCCAGCCAAAUUUCAAAUCAUCGGAUCAGUUCUGGUUUUACUCAGGCUAGAUCACCAAUUAUGGGGAGAUAAUGUGAGAGAAAUUACAUAGCUACUGGGCCUGGUUUUCCAUUAGUCUGCAAAUUGCAAACAUUCUGAUUUAGUAGCAGUUUAUAUUCACUUUGUAUGGGUGUAAAAUUACAGUCCUGCUGGCCUGAAGGAAGAUUAAUUCAUACUAGCCAAGAAUCUGGCCCUUAAUGUACUUAGUUCAAUGGGAUGAUCUUUUGGUAAUGAGCAAAUUGAUUCUGAUAAUAAC
rnacentral:lncRNA from 1 species